AAGAAGAGGUCGCAAAAACCAUCAGUAGCUAGGUGGAGUUGAUAAAGCAACGCUAAAAUCUAGUGAAAGGGGGAUUUGCCGAAGCCUAGACAAACUUUAUUUUGUCUAGGCUGGGGCCCGGUUUAAGAGAUCGGGAACUGUCGUAGUGAUAAGCUACGGAGCGCUAUCGA
rnacentral:ncRNA from 1 species